CAGCUGGCACAGGCUAGCUGUUGGUUUUUAAUUGCAGUGUAGACAAAGACAUACCCUAAAGUGGCAUUGGUGACAGCAGUGAUUGCUGCUGAAAACUUUAACUGUGGAAACAGCCUACAGUGCCAAAUUUUAUGCAUUGGACUAACAAUCUGCUUGAGAUUAUUUAAUCUGGUACCCAGCUUCAAAUGUCAGAGCUUUUUACAGAUAAGCUGGGAGUCCGUGGAUCAACGCACAUGGAAAAAUGUCCACACCACUGAAUCUGAGCAACUACAAGCAUUAUUAUGCAAAAAUAAAAGCCCUGACUCAUGGAGGGGAGGGCUUAACAGGCGCAGGACCAAGAAGGCUGUCAGCAAUCUACAAAGCUUUACGAUUUGAGAAUAUCAAGUAUUUGCCUUCUGCAAGGGCUAGCUGAAGGCACCAGUGAAGGAAGCAGGUGCAUGGGGUGGCCAAAAGAAAGGGGUGGCAGUUCGUUUGUUGCUGGGGCGGCACAUCCAGGUUGUUAUCAUCGGCACUGCGAUGGCAGCUCAAUCGGCCCGCUUGAGUCUUUGGCAGCGGGUCCUUCUGUCCCUGGCUUCCUCCUCGGCGGCACUUUGGUGGCAGCUCAAUCGGGUUUUUCUUUUUUUUCACUACUUGGGGUGGCAAAAAAGCUGGAGCCGGCCCUGUUUCCAUCUAAGGAAAAAUGGAUAGGACUUCCUUCAGGCCCUGAUAACACCACUCCUCAAUCAGCCAAAAAGGGCACAGCUGAGCAAGGUUUAUUGGUCCCUCUUCAUGCCUCCUUAUACGGAGUUGAGCAGAGUAUCCUUGAAGCACUUUCAGCCUCUGCUAUGCCAAA